rnacentral:tRNA from 1 species
GGAAGGAUGGUCGGGCGGUCUAAGGCGCUUGAUUCAAGACCAAGUAUAUUUAAUUGCGGAGGUUCGAAUCCUUCUCCUUUCA